rnacentral:rRNA from 1 species
AACGAACGCUGGCGGCGCGCCUAACACAUGCAAGUCGAACGCGAAAUUGUAGCAAUACAAGAGUAAAGUGGCGCACGGGUGAGUAACGCGUAGGUGAUCUACCUUUGUGAUCGGGAUAACCAGCCGAAAGGUUGGCUAAUACUGGAUAGAGCGCAGUUACCGUAAAGGUGAAUGCGGGAAAUGAGGGCGUAGGCACUGAGUGUUUAAGCUAACGAGGGGGGUUAGGUUGAACAUUGAGUGCUUACGCUCUUGCACUGAGAUGAGCCUGCGUCUCAUUAGCUAGUUGGUAGGGUAAAGGCCUACCAAGGCAUUGAUGGGUAGCUGGUCUGAGAGGACGAUCAGCCACACUGGAACUGAAACACGGUCCAGACUCCUACGGGAGGCAGCAGUGGGGAAUCUUGCGCAAUGGACGAAAGUCUGACGCAGCGACGCCGCGU